GACUUUGUUCUGCAGCUGAGUCAUCUUCGAUUCUUCCAAGUACUUGUUUGAGGUCGUUCAGUCGUUGGCUCAAGCUUGUCGCUUUUGGCUUCUGCUCAUGUUUGGAUGCAAUCUCAUGGCAACCACUAUGAAGAAGGAGCAGUUGACUCCUGCUGAGAUGUUGGCUUGACUGUUCUGGAAGAGAUCUUCUGCUUCGAAGGAGAGGUUGCGUGCUGCGGAGUUGACCGAGAGGAUUUUGCUGGAGGAGUCGACUUUGUCUCCACGUUCCCGGAGUGAUCAGUGCAAGGCCAUACAGAAGCUUAACCUAUUUGAAUAAUUCGAUGGAAUUCAGCAACCGACAUGGGCGUGCUAUAUGGAGGAAAUGCGAAUUCUUUCUAUUCAAAUUCUAAUCCAUUGAGAAGAAAUAUCGCCACGAAAU